rnacentral:rRNA from 1 species
UACGGAGGGUGCAAGCGUUAUCCGGAUUCACUGGGUUUAAAGGGUGCGUAGGUGGGCAGGUAAGUCAGUGGUGAAAUCUCUGGGCUUAACCCGGAAACUGCCGUUGAUACUAUCUGUCUUGAAUGUAGUGGAGGUGAGCGGAAUAUGUCAUGUAGCGGUGAAAUGCUUAGAUAUGACAUAGAACACCCAUUGCGAAGGCAGCUCGCUAGACUAUUAUUGACACUGAGGCACGAAAGCGUGGGGAUCAAACAGG